GGGGUGGAGCAGCUCGGUAGCUCGCUGGGCUCAUAACCCAGAGGUCGCAGGUUCAAAUCCUGUCCCCGCUA
rfam:Streptomyces sp. F-1 isolate Streptomyces sp. F1 genome assembly, contig: gnlCTBESTEPF1_68